ACUCCUGGCAGCAGCCCAGGGCCGCACCGACUAGGGCUCCCAGGGGAGGCGAAGGUCCGUCCCGAGGAGGUCGGGAGAAAUCCCCCUGAGUGCGGGAUGCUAUCUAUACCGGGCAAGUCCCGCGUCGUGCGGAGGCCGGACUCCUUUGCAGGUAUAAAUAAUAACACACAUCCACUGUACAAGGUACGCUCACUAUUGACAAUUUACCCGGGACAGUUGCUACUUCCCGUGAACCUUACUCACCGGAAAACUAACUUGGCCGUCGGAGCGCCCUCGGGGACAACCCUCGGGCCCCCUUUGUUAGCUCCUUUUCUCUGUUUUGCAGAUCUUGGAUCAGCUCUCCCAUCGACACCCCGAGCUGAUCAGCUGUUGGAAGAUGUAGGCGGCUGGAAGCUCUGAGUUUAUCCACAAAGUCAUCUUUCUAUCAAAGACCUGCGGCUGGUGAAUCCGAUCAAAUAAUUGGUGUUUGCCAAAGUUUGGGCCCAAGGAACCAAAAAAAUCUGCUAAAAGUUGCGAGGAAAUGUGAAAUUUUUGUUGCACGUUAACCAUGGAAGGACGGGUGGAAUGCGAUAGGCUACUUUGUGUGAGAUAAUUAGUGUGACCGGACUUUAAAUCUUUAUGAUCCAACUAUCAAAUCCAUAGUUGUUUAAGAAAUAGUUGCUUAACAAGCAAGCGAACCAGGUCUGACAGUGAAUUUUUCAUUGGCUGAACCACUUUUAGGCGUCUAA